ACCUUAUAUAGAUGUAGUAACGCAAGACAGUUACGCAUUUCCCUGUAAGGUAGUGUUUCAAUAGAAGUGUAAACAACAAGUCUUAUUGUGUGGCUAUAAGUUGAAAUAAGAUGAGUUUAUAUGGAAUAGGUUAACCGUAAGACCUUGAGUUGAAAAACUCUAAAAUGAACCUAGAAAUAAAAGUUCUUGUUUUCUAGUUACGGUCAG
rnacentral:sRNA from 12 species